UACGUAGGGUGCGAGCGUUUGUCCGGAAUCACUGGGCGUAAAGGGCGCGUAGGCGGCUCAUGAAGGCUGUGGUGAAAGUCCGGGGCUCAACCUCGGAUCGGCCGUGGCGACUCGUGGGCUGGAGCACUGUAGAGGCGGGUGGAAUUCCGGGUGUAGCGGUGGAAUGCGUAGAGAUCCGGAAGAACACCAGUGGCGAAGGCGGCCCGCUGGGCAGUGGCUGACGCUGAAGCGCGACAGCGUGGGGAGCAAACAGG
rnacentral:rRNA from 1 species